CCUGAGAGCCCUAAUUGCACCUAUAUUUUUAAUUUAAAUGUUUUUAUAAGAAUUUUAGACACUUGGCACAAAGAAGUUUGCUGAUGGCCAGGAGAGAGCAGACUUCUCUGGACGUGAUAUGGUGCUAAUUCACUCUUACAAUCAAGGGUUGCAACUAAUUCAUCCUUUUGCUUAAUCACAGCGAUCAGAGGUGGAAGAAAGCAAUACAUGAGUGUUCCAGCUGCUUUGCACAUCCACCAGUACUUGGUAGUGUCAGUUUUUGUAAAUUAUAACCAUUCUAAAAGGCAAAGGAGCUUUGAAUUUGUGAUGAUAAAACUUGAAAAAGAAUUUGUAAUCUGCCACAUUCUACUGCUCGAAACUCCCAGAGAAACCACGUAGCACAUCUGACUUAUCCUCCAACAAGGACUGCCCUCUGAUGUGUCUGAAAGAAAGGUGACAAUCAUAUUCAGACUCUUCAUGGACUGGCCCUCUAUUUGGACAACUGCAUAAUAUCUAGAUCUUUGAUACCCUGUCUGGGGACAAAAUUUUGUCAGCUGUGCAGGAACCAGGUUAUCCUGGAAUACAGUGAAAUAAACCAUAAAACAGUUCUUUUUGUUUGUCAGGCAGAGCAAAAUGGCAUUGCUUCCUUUAAAUCUGGUUUGUUUUCCUUUUCUCUUACCUAACCAGCUCUUCAACCUGGCUCUCCAACCUGGGGCUGGAACUGAUUGGAACUUUAAAAUGCUUUGUUACCGUCUGUUCUUUUUUCAGUAAGCACAAUGGUUUACUCCCUUUUGAGGCAGGGUCCCGUGUAAUGAGUCGAUGCUUCUGUUAACUCUAAGAACCCUUAAUUAUUUCCACCAUUUUCUCCAUGUGUUUCCUUCGCUGACUGUGUGAAUCACAGGCAGGCUGCUGGUUGUCAGAGACUGAAAAAGUCACUGGCCUUCCUUGGCAAGGAACUGAAUUCUGCAGCGUCUGUAUUCAUGGACAGAGUAUCCUGUCUCAGAGUUUGUGCAGCACCU
rnacentral:lncRNA from 1 species